rnacentral:rRNA from 1 species
GACGGGGCCCGGCACAAGCGGUGGAGUAUGUGGUUAAUUCGAUGCAACGCGAAGAACCUUACCUGGUCUUGACAUCCCGGAGACCCUUAGGAAACUAGGGGGUGCUUCCAUCUGGAAGAAUCUGGAGACAGGUGCUGCAUGGCUGUCGUCAGCUCGUGUCGUGAGAUGUUGGGUUAAGUCCCGCAACGAGCGCAACCCUUGCCUUUAGUUGCCAACAGUUCGGCUGGGCACUCUAAAGGGACUGCCGGUGUUAAACCGGAGGAAGGUGGGGAUGACGUCAAGUCCUCAUGGCCUUUAUGACCAGGGCUACACACGUACUACAAUGGCCGAUACAAAGGGCAGCGACACUGCGAGGUGAAGCCAAUCCCGUAAAAUCGGUCUCAGUCCGGAUUGGAGUCUGCAACUCGACUCCAUGAAGUUGGAAUCGCUAGUAAUCGUGGAUCAGCAUGCCACGGUGAAUACGUUCCCGGGCCUU